ACUCCUACGGGAGGCAGCAGUGGGGAAUAUUGCACAAUGGGCGCAAGCCUGAUGCAGCCAUGCCGCGUGUGUGAAGAAGGCCUUCGGGUUGUAAAGCACUUUCAGUUGUGAGGAAGGUGGUGUCGUUAAUAGCGGCAUCAUUUGACGUUAGCAACAGAAGAAGCACCGGCUAACUCCGUGCCAGCAGCCGCGGUAAUACGGAGGGUGCGAGCGUUAAUCGGAAUUACUGGGCGUAAAGCGCAUGCAGGUGGUUUGUUAAGUCAGAUGUGAAAGCCCGGGGCUCAACCUCGGAACUGCAUUUGAAACUGGCAGACUAGAGUACUGUAGAGGGGGGUAGAAUUUCAGGUGUAGCGGUGAAAUGCGUAGAGAUCUGAAGGAAUACCGGUGGCGAAGGCGGCCCCCUGGACAGAUACUGACACUCAGAUGCGAAAGCGUGGGGAGCAAAC
rnacentral:rRNA from 1 species